AUUGAACGCUGGCGGCAGGCCUAACACAUGCAAGUCGAGCGGAUGAAGGGAGCUUGCUCCUGGAUUCAGCGGCGGACGGGUGAGUAAUGCCUAGGAAUCUGCCUGGUAGUGGGGGAUAACGUCCGGAAACGGGCGCUAAUCCCGCAUCCGUCCUGAGGGAGAAAGUGGGGGUUCUUCGGACCUCACGCUAUCAGAUGAGCCUAGGUCGGAUUAGCUAGUUGGUGUGGUAAAGGCCUACCAAGGCGACGAUCCGUAACUGGUCUGAGAGGAUGAUCAGUCACACUGGAACUGAGACACGGUCCAGACUCCUACGGGAGGCAGCAGUGGGGAAUAUUGGACAAUGGGCGAAAGCCUGAUCCAGCCAUGCCGCGUGUGUGAAGAAGGUCUUCGGAUUGUAAAGCACUUUAAGUUGGGAGGAAGGGCAGUAAGUUAAUACCUUGCUGUUUUGACGGUACCAACAGAAUAAGCACCGGCUAACUUCGUG
rnacentral:rRNA from 1 species